UACGAAGGGGGCUAGCGUUGCUCGGAUUGACUGGGCGUAAAGGGCGCGUAGGCGGUUUGUACAGUCAGACGUGAAAUUCCUGGGCUCAACCUGGGGGCUGCGUUUGAUACGUGCGAGCUUGAGUUCGGAAGAGGGUCGUGGAAUUCCCAGUGUAGAGGUGAAAUUCGUAGAUAUUGGGAAGAACACCGGUGGCGAAGGCGGCGACCUGGUCCGUGACUGACGCUGAGGCGCGAAAGCGUGGGGAGCAAACAGG
rnacentral:rRNA from 1 species